GAAAGACUGAGGGCAGGAGGAGAAGGGGAUGACAGAGGUUGAGUUGCUUGGAUGGCAUCACUGACUCAAUGGAUAUGCAUUUGAGUAAGCUCUGGAAGUUCCUGAUGGACAGGGAGGCCUGGUGUGCUGCGGUCCAUGGGGUCACAUAGAGUUGGACACGACUGAGUAACCGAACUGAACUGUAUGAGAAAAUUAUAUGAAAAUGUUGUGAAAGCCAUUAAGCAAUUGUAAAUUCUUUUUAAUAGAUAACCAUACAACUGAAGAGACAAUUAGUUCUCUAUUGCCCUUCUUGCUCUAGAUGGGUGUAGGACCAGUGUUCUUGUAUAUAGCAUUGCAGACUUCAUCUCCUGUGAUGUGAAUUGUAGAGUGUGUUGACCACUUACUAGGGUCUGCCUUGCUCAGUACUAAAUGGUUGGAUUGAAUGUUGACUAAAUGAGGAAAAAACCCAUAUCCAUCCAUGACUGACUCUAUCACCUUUGCCUUUUUAAAAAAAAAAUUGUCUUUUUCUGCUUUUCACUUAGGUUUUCCAAACGAGCCUGCUGCAGUCAUCGCCCUUAGCACCAUUAAGGAAUGGCUGGCCAAGAAUCAGCACGAGAACAAGAUACAGGAAAGUGGAAAAAAAAAAAAGAAGAAAGAUGUGCUGAGAAAUGGCUGCUGGACGGAUGACUGAGUUUAUGCACAGGAUAGGGGGUGUCUAUGUCAGCCUUUUAGUAAGUCUGUCCAAAAUUGGGCAUAUACGAAAUCUUGCCCUACUUUAUCAUGGACUUUCAGGUCAAUGAUCAGCAAUAUGAGAACCCAUAAAUGUUAAAUGGGUGAACGCCUGGGGUCUGUUUUAUUGACUUUGUGUUUCGUGAUCUCCCAGCUCUUCUUAUUUAGCUAUGAACCUUGAAUGAUUCAACUACAUUUUCU
rnacentral:lncRNA from 1 species